rnacentral:rRNA from 1 species
ACGCUCGACACCUACGGGGGCAGCAGUAGGGAAUCUUCCACAAUGGACGCAAGUCUGAUGGAGCAACGCCGCGUGAGUGAAGAAGGUCUUCGGAUCGUAAAACUCUGUUGUUAGAGAAGAACACGAGUGAGAGUAACUGUUCAUUCGAUGACGGUAUCUAACCAGCAAGUCACGGCUAACUACGUGCCGGUAGCCGCGGUAAUCUGAGCGGGCUGGCAAGGC